UUAAACCCAAAAAACACACAGUGUGUGUGUCUGGGGAAUGAACAAGAACAGGAGCACAAGGGGAAACCCUUGUUUCAAAGAAUCAAGCAAUUAAACUAGAAAUUGAAGGAUAAUUCACUCCAUGAACAUCAAAUAACGCUCUACUAAACUCGAUUAUUGAAGUGGCGUAAAAGAAGAAAGCUCAAACACUAGGAAAUUGGAAAGCUCGCAAGAUCGAGGUAAAUCCUCUACAUAAUGGCUUGGCGACUUGGAACGAACACACACGAAUCAUGUCCAUCACGCGCUUCCGUUACUUUGUAAUUAUGUUAUGGGUCAAAAAUUACUUUCGUGGUAUCUAACUUUUGUUUAGUAGCUAGACCUUAAAGCUUAACAUGUUAUGUCUUUUGAACGUGUCGUAGAAUUUUCUUGAAAUGAUGAUGAUUGUUAAAAACAGGGAACCGCUCAUGUUACGGACGAGUCAUGCCCAAUUUUUGUUAGAAAUAGUAUGUCAUUAAUAAUAUUUCCGAA